rnacentral:rRNA from 2 species
CUGGUGUCAGCCGCCGCGGUAAUACCAGCACCCCGAGUUGUCGGGACGAUUAUUGGGCCUAAAGCAUCCGUAGCCUGUUCUGCAAGUCCUCCGUUAAAUCCACCUGCUCAACGGGUGGGCUGCGGAGGAUACCGCAGGGCUAGGAGGCGGGAGAGGCAAACGGUACUCAGUAGGUAGGGGUAAAAUCCAUUGAUCUACUGAAGACCACCAGUGGCGAAGGCGGUUUGCCAGAACGCGCUCGACGGUGAGGGAUGAAAGCUGGGGGAGCAAACCGGAUUAGAUACCCGGGUAGUCCCAGCUGUAAACGAUGCAGACUCGGUGAUGGGGGUUCAUGCCUAUUCAACUGCGGGGGAAACCGUUAAGUUUGCCCGCCGGGGAGGACCGGCCCGCGAACGAAACUUAAAAGAAUUGGCGGGGGAGGCCAAAAGGGGUGACGCUGCCCUCGAUAGGAGUCAACACUGGAAAUCUUACCGGGGGCGACUCCAGAAUGGAAGGUCAAGCUGAAGACUUUACCAGACCCGCUGACAGGUGGU